rnacentral:rRNA from 1 species
CCUACGGGAGUCCGCAGUGGGGGAUAUUGCACAAUGGGGGAAACCCUGAUGCAGCAACGCCGCGUGAGUGAAGAAGUAUUUCGGUAUGUAAAGCUCUAUCAGCAGGGAAGAGAAUGACGGUAACUGACUAAGAAGCCCCGGCUAACUACGUGCCAGCCGCCGCGGUUAUACGUAGGCGGCGAGCGUUAUACGGAUUUACUGGGUGGAAAGGGAGCGUAGACGGCUGGUCAAGUCUGAAGUGAAAGCCCGGGGCUUAACCCCGGAACGGCUUUGGAAACGUAGCAUCUAGAGUGCUGGAGAGGUAAGCGGAAUUCCUAGGGUAGCGGUGAAAUGCGGAGAUAUUAGGAGGAACACCAGUGGCGAAGGCGGCUUACUGGACAGUAACUGACGUUGAGGCUCGAAAGCGUGGGGAGCAAACAGGAUUAGAUACCCUUGUAGUC